AUGAAAAAAACCCAAAACACCUGGUUGAUGGCCAUUUGGUCAAACACCUCUAGGAGUCUGGAGUUGAGUGGCCAGAACUCAGUCUUUCUUUACAUGCUGUGUUAAGCAGGCUUUUAUCUCAUUCAGGUGUUAGAAGUGGAGGGAGGAACACAGUUAGGCUGUGUUCUACUGCACUGCAUAGGGAGGCAGGGUAUCACCCAGGCACAACGCCCACUUUGCAAGUAAAUAAUCAGUAGCAUGAAGCUCACUUCUGCAGGACCCACCAUGACAAAGUGGAGAGCUGGGCGGUUAACCAGUGAACCAAUUGAGUGGCUCUGGGCUCCUAUACCCCUUUCAUUCCACAGCCUGUGAUACACCCUUAGAGUCAAAAUAUCAAAUUCAGUGGGCCAUGAGUCUUGCCCAAAAGUAUAAAUCUUUUUUUCAUAUGGACUAUUUGGGUCUAUUUUCAAAAAUCCCUUUUUCUUCUCUAAACUAUCUCAAUUCCACAUUUCACUUUGCAGGUGUAGACAUGACUUUUAGGUUGUUGAUGAUUUAAUGCUAUUGAAAUGUUCUUAUAUGCAAAACACCUAGAUAGAUGCAGAGUGUGGGACAAAGACAACCAGCACAUUGCUAAGCCCAAGUAGCAAAUUUCCUGACCCCAUUUUAAAGGUUCUGAGACAGAUAGGCGGAAUAGGUCCCCCUGUCUUUGAGUAGAAGAGUUGGCAAGCAAGCUGGACUAAAUGGGCCAUGUGCAAUUUUGCUGUCUGUUCACAUUUCAAAUAAACUAAUGUGUU
rnacentral:lncRNA from 1 species